UUUCCUACGGGAGGCAGCAGUGGGGAAUAUUGGGCAAUGGGCGCAAGCCUGACCCAGCGACGCCGCGUGAGGGAAGACGGUCUUCGGAUUGUAAACCUCUUUCAGCAGGGAAGACAAAAGGACGGUACCUGCAGAAGAAGCCACGGCUAACUACGUGCCAGCAGCCGCGGUAAUACGUAGGUGGCAAGCGUUAUCCGGAAUUACUGGGUGUAAAGGGUGCGUAGGCGGUGGUGCAAGUCAGAUGUGAAAAUUAUGGGUUAAACCCAUAAACUCCGG
rnacentral:rRNA from 1 species